rnacentral:rRNA from 1 species
ACGCUCGACACCUACGGGAGGCAGCAGUAGGGAAUCUUCCACAAUGGACGCAAGUCUGAUGGAGCAACGCCGCGUGAGUGAAGAAGGUUUUCGGAUCGUAAAGCUCUGUUGUUGGUGAAGAAGGAUAGAGGUAGUAACUGGCCUUUAUUUGACGGUAAUCAACCAGAAAGUCACGGCUAACUACGUGCCAGCAGCCGCGGUAAUCUGAGCGGGCUGGCAAGGC